rnacentral:rRNA from 1 species
GGACUACCAGGGUAUCUAAUCCCGUUCGCUCCCCUAGCUUUCGCACUUGAGCGUCAGUCACUUCCCAGGACGCUGCCUUCGCCUUUGGUGUUCUUCCAGAUCUCUACGCAUUUCACCGCUCCACCUGGAAUUCCGCGUCCCUCUGAAGCCCUCAAGUCUGCCCGUCUUUCGAGGCCUGUGGCAGUUAAGCCGCCACCUGUCACUCGAAACUGACCAGACCGCCUGCGUGCGCUUUACGCCCAAUAAAUCCGGACAACGCUUGCCCCCUACGUAUUACCGCGGCUGCUGGCAC